rnacentral:rRNA from 1 species
AUUGAACGCUGGCGGAAUGCUUUACACAUGCAAGUCGAACGGCAGCACGGACUUCGGUCUGGUGGCGAGUGGCGAACGGGUGAGUAAUAUAUCGGAACGUGCCCAAUCGUGGGGGAUAACGCAGCGAAAGCUGUGCUAAUACCGCAUACGAUCUACGGAUGAAAGCGGGGGAUCGCAAGACCUCGCGCGAGAGGAGCGGCCGAUGCCGGAUUAGCUAGUUGGUGGGGUAAUGGCCUACCAAGGCGACGAUCCGUAGCUGGUCUGAGAGGACGACCAGCCACACUGGGACUGAGACACGGCCCAGACUCCUACGGGAGGCAGCAGUGGGGAAUUUUGGACAAUGGGCGCAAGCCUGAUCCAGCCAUGCCGCGUGUGUGAAGAAGGCCUUCGGGUUGUUAAAGACGACUUUCGGACGGAACGAAUACGCGCGCAUGAACAUUGCGCGU